rnacentral:rRNA from 1 species
GAUGAACGCUGGCGGCGUGCCUAAUACAUGCAAGUCGAGCGAACAGACGAGGAGCUUGCUCCUCUGACGUUAGCGGCGGACGGGUGAGUAACACGUGGAUAACCUACCUAUAAGACUGGGAUAACUUCGGGAAACCGGAGCUAAUACCGGAUAACAUGUUGAACCGCAUGGUUCAACAGUGAAAGACGGUCUUUCUGUCACUUAUAGAUGGAUCCGCGCCGCAUUAGCUAGUUGGUAAGGUAACGGCUUACCAAGGCAACGAUGCGUAGCCGACCUGCGAGGGGGAUCGGCCACACUGGAACUGAGCCACGGUCCAGACGCCUACGGGAGGCAGCAGUAGGGAAUCUUCCGCAAUGGGCGAAAGCAUGACGGAGCAACGGCGCGUGAGUGAAGAAGGUCUUCGGAUCGUAAAACUCUGUUAUUAGGGAAGAACAAAUGUGUAAGUAACUAUGCACGUCUUGACGGUACCUAAUCAGAAAGCCACGGCUAACUACGUG